CUAGCCUCCGCCUUGGAGCUGGUCCAUCGAGGGCAUGGGAACCCGGUGCGAAUCCGGGACUGACGCGCAGCGGUGACGGUGACAAACCUGCGACUCACGCCACUGGGGAAACCUGGGAAGGCCACAGGCGAGGAAGAUCCGAAGUCCGAAGACCGCAGCUUCGUUUUAUCGGCUG
rfam:Pseudopropionibacterium propionicum F0230a chromosome, complete genome.